AGAGAGGCGCUGGCUCCCCGCAUCUGGCUUGCCUGCGUCGCCUCCUCGCGCGGUGAUUAAUGGCGGGGAAGGGAGGGGGCACCCAGGCCUCCCCCCCCCCCGCCGCGCCAAUGAGUUCACCAGAGCCUCGCUCCAAUGUGCGGAACUCGUUGAGGGGAAAAGCGCCCUCUCCGUGAGCGCGCAAGCGCAAGCGCCACCCCGAAAUGCGCCUCGCGCUGCCCGCGCGCAGCCAGCAAGGGGCCGCGAAGCCAGUUUCUCGCCCUUCCUCCCCGGUUCCCGCUUGGGCACAGCGUGGAGAGGCACCCGGAGAGCCCUGUAGAAGCAGGAUCAGGCCAAAGGGGGCCUGUCCAGUCCAGCCUCCUGUCCUUGCCAAGUGCCCCCGAGAUAAAGUGUCUUCGGAGGUUCCAUAAGAACACAAGCAGAGCCUGGGGGUUGAUGGAAUCGGGCAAAAAGUGGCCCAUCUAGUCUUGUAUCCCGCAUCCAACCAGAUGCCCCAAACGGGAAACCCACAAGCCAGACAUGGAGGCAACAGCGCUCUCCCAGCUUGCAGUUUGGAGUUCCAUGCCUUAUUGUUGUCGCCCCUCCCUGGGACCUUGGGGGUAAAGGCGAGAAAGUGAAUAAAAGUAAAUGAAGAGCAGCUGCUCCACUGCUGAGAUGCGGCUCAGUCCCCAACAGCAUCUUCAGGAGGGACAAGAGAGGUCUUCCCAGGAACAGAACCCAAUCUGAACAAAGCCAUAUUGGAUUGCUUAAGUAAAGAGUUUCAAAAGAAUCUA